rnacentral:lncRNA from 1 species
ACCCGCCGCGGCUUGGAGCUCCCAGCGGGUACGUGCCUCUCUGACUACUACUGAGACAGGAGUCGAUGUAGGAUGGAGGCAGGAGGCGCCGCUGAGCAAAAUUUUGUGGAGUUGGGUUCAGGGUCCUGACUCCUGGCCUCCAGUGGCGACAGGACAGCCGACAGCCGCUCUGAGACCUGACCUGGACAAGCACGGCCUCCAGGUGUGUCUCUGCUGGUCCUUGGGUGCAAGGGUUGCCUAGGCUACAGAAGAAAGCUUGGUGUAGAGAUAAGGGAUGGAAAGAGGUGGGCUGUAAGAAAAGGACCACAGGGCCAGAGUCAGCCUUGGAAAGUUCCUGUCUCUGUUCCAAGUUCUACAUCCUGCCCUGCCUCUUGUCUUUGUCCCAGAACAGGAGGCCAGGAUCUUCCUGAGGAUAGUUUCUGUGACAUCCCACGCUAAAGCAACUGUCCCAGAAUGCUCUGGGGGAAGAAUGGGGAGACAAUGCAUUAGCACUGAAGGGCAGGGUCAGGAACACACCCAUGACCCCCAGACCUCAGGCUCAAGUCCUCCUCUUAAGUGCUGGCUACAUCAUCUCAGGCCAGUGGUUCUCAACCUUCCUAAUGCUGGGACCCUUUAACACUGCAGCCUCAUGCUGUGCUGACCCCCAACCAUAAAAUUAUUCUCGUUGCUACUUCAUAACUGUAGUUUUGCUACUGUUAUGAAUCAUAAUGAAAUCAUUUGACUUGGCAGAGGUUGUGUCCCCCAGGUUGAGAAACACUGGCCUAGACAAAAGUCUUGACUCUGAGUUUCAGUUUCUGUCCCGAGGACCACAAAAGUAGCGCCUUCCCAUUCCUUCAUCGGGACGGAAGACCAGAAGUUAGAACAGUUGUGGUGUGUGCCCAAAACUCUUAAGAAAUCCUUCUAUGUUAGUCCCUUUCUUUGGAUCUCGAAUUCCUGGGACCCUCUAGCCUCCUCCCUCCCGGGACCGAGCCAGAAAUUUAGAAAGUUCUUGACAGGCAAGAGUGGGGGGGGGGUGUUAUUACUAUUUUGCACUGAUUACUUGUGUGUGACUCAGCUUUCCCAACCUUACCUGGCUCGCCUCUAACAAAUAAAUGCUUUGUUUUUAGCUGGCCUCCACUUCCUAUUGUCAGAUGGUGGAGUCCCAGUCUGUGGUACAUGGUGGGCUGUCAUCUGUUAGUGUGAGAAGAGUUACAGCCCAACAGUAGGGCUCACCCCAUAUUCCCCCAGCCAUUAUGUGUUGCUGGACUACAUCCUUCCAUGCUGACAGAGGGAUGUCAGUGGACAGAGACAAGAAGCCACCACCCAGAAAGACAAGCACGGGCCAUAUAUAGAUGUACUUAAACCCACACAGCCCCAUGAAGGGUCCAGGCAGAGGUUAACAUCUCAUUAAAUGUCUCAUCCAGAGAUGUCAAGGUCACACGGCAAUGAGAAACAGUGGAUCUUAAACCCAGUUCCAUGCCCACUGUUGUGGAAACAGGUCUGCCAAUAAGGGUUCUGGGAGAACCAUUUCCCCAGAGUUACCCUGUGCGUGGUCUGUGUUAUAAGGUAUCCUAUGAGCUCAGACGCUGCCAUCUUCAUAAGAUUAGGACAGGAGGGUCAUUAGACCCUCUUCUGAGUUUCUGGCCACUCCUCCCAGUCGCUUGUAUGCAAUUCUGCCUUAAUUGCAUGAGGUCUCUAGACAGGGCAGGAGUAUAUAGGCUGUGGAGAACUAGAGGAGAAGGCUCCGCCUGUACAGCUCUGGGGAAGCCAUCAAGCCAUCGUCCAUGCUGGGUGGAGACUUUCCAGUGUAGCUGCUUUGCGGUCACAGUGAUCUGUAAGUAAGAAAGUACAAUAAACUCACUGGUUCCCCAGGAACAACUGUGGUGAAACGGACUUUUGGGUUGUAAUUAGGCAGGAGAGAUGCUAUCCACAUCUCCCCAGGGAAAGACUUUUUAUGGCAGCUCAACCAAUGGCCUGAAAAACCAUGAAUACCAGGUUCCCUUGGCUAAAGUACACAGGGUUCUUCUCUGGUGGCUUGCGUGAUUAUCCACUUUGGAGAACUGGGUCCCUGUGUGUGAGAACUAGCCCAAGGUGCCAGAAGACUGAAGAAGGGUGAACAGACCCAGGCCUGGACAGAGUACAGUUCACUGGGAACUUUCUGCAAGUGUUACAGCUCUGAAGCAAAAGGCUUCCCCAAUGGAAGUGUUACAGCUCUGCUCUGAGGGGAAACAUUUCCCCAGUACAACUGUUGCUGCUCUUAAGGCUAAGACAUUCCUCAGCAGUUAGGAGCCAAGGAAACCAAAGACGUACCUUGUAACAAACCUCAUGCAAGAGGCUGUCUGCUAUUGCUCAGGUAAGAGGCAGCAAUGCAGGGAACUGAGCAGGAGACGUGUGUGUGUGUGUGUGUGUGUGUGUGUGUGUGUGUGUGUGUGUCCAUGGUGGAGAUUUCCAAGGCAUGGAUUGGUGAGAUUUCGAGUCAAGCCCAGGGAUUGGUGGGAUUUCAAGCUCAGGGAUUGGUGGGUUUUGAUAGGUUUUCAAACCUGGAAGUGGGCUCGGGCCUUUAACCUUACACUUACAGAUAAAAGUAUUAGGUGACUGUAAGACAAGUGGAUCCCCACACCCCAAGGAGGUAGAAAAAGGGUCCUUCAUUUGGAAAAAAAAAAAAGUCCCCUUUACCUAAGGCCCAGUAAACCAGAAGCCUACAGACCAGCAGGUGAGAUGAGAAGAUGUGCUGCUCAGAGCCCUGGCUGGGGGAGCACUGUUUGCUGUCUGCAAAGAGCAAAGCCACAGUCUCCAAGCAAUGGAUUCUAAUCAGGUUUGUCAUCAUCUGAUCUGGGCCAAGGUUAUCCUGGUCCUUAGAGGUUAGCCCAAUGCACAGCUUCUGGAAUGGCGGAGGUGAGUAAGGGGAUGGGGGGGUGACACAGAGGAGUAGGAUUGAGAGAGGGUCUGUCUGCUCUGCUCUAACAAGCCUCUGCUCUCUGGGCUGCUAUAGAUGCUGUUACAUGCUCUCUGGACACCUUUUGGUGAGCUGCAAGUGUUCUCCCCCCCCCCCACAAACAGACCUAGAGACCUGCUCUGUGCAAUGACAGACAAGGAUACUGGGGAUAGGGGCAAUACACUUGUUUUCUGUUAUUGCUAAGGAUGCCUUCCAAGGUCCAAGCUAGGGUGUGGGUUUUGCAAGAGCGAUACUCUAAAGGACUUCUCAGAAUGUCCUUAAUGACGUAAGAGUUCCUGGGCAUGACAUAGGGGCUACCUGGGUGGCAAACUCUCCUGCAUUUGCUCUGUAGCAUAAAGGGAAGGCCUUGGGAUUUAGGGGUUCCUUAAGGGAGAGAUCCACUGUACCUUCUAACCAAUGUCACUACCCUAGAGACCAUUGAAGAGCCUGGAAUUAGACAUCUGGGGCUGGCAAACGCUUUUUUUUUAAAGAUUUAUUUUUAUUUUAUGAAUGAGUGCUUUGCCUGUUUGUAUGUAUGCUAAGUGCGUGUGUGGUACCCUCAGGGACAGAAGAUGGCAUUAGAUCUCCUGGAACUGGAGUCAGGUACAGUUAUGAGCCACCACGAAGGUGCUUACAGCCAAACCUGGGUCCUCUGCAAGAGCAACAAGUGCUGUUAACUGCUGAGCCAUCUCUCCAGCCCCUAAGAAGCAUUUUUUUUUUUGCAGGUGCCUUUCAAGAAUCCUCCCCACACUCCUGGCUGCAUUCAGUACCAGACUCAUGCUCUGAGAUCCAAAGGCAGAAGAGAACAGGGAGAAUGGGAGCUCAGACUGGGAAAAGGGAGCGGAGAGGCUUGGAGCUCACUGCCCAGUCCAGCUUAAUUGGUGAUAUCCAGGCCAAUGAGAGUCCUGGUGUCAGAGGCAGUAGACAAUGGACAAGUGAUUUUAUCCUCUCGUCUCUACAAGCAGGCACAAAGACACAUACAUACCUGCAUACACAUGAACACAAAGAUUCACAAAUGCAUACACACACGCAUUGUUUGUUUGUUUGUUUGUUUGUUUUUCAAGUCAGGGUUUCUCUGUAUAGCCCUGACCAUCCUGGAACUCAUUCCGUAAACCAGACUGGCCUUGAACUCAAAGAUCUGCCUGUCUCUGCCCCAAGUGCUGGGAUUAAAGGCAUGUGCUGCCACCACCUGGCUGUACAUGCGUUUUUUUAAAAAAAGGUGACUUUACUUGUCUCACAGGACACAUAAUGGCCUGUUCCGGAGGCUGGAAAGUCUUAUGGCAUCAUAAAUAUGGCCUCAGAGAAGAUAUCACACUGUUUCAACUUCCAGUCAAAACAGGCAAGGGGGCACAGAUGGAGAGGGGAAAAGACAAGGGGUGGCCCGGCUUUAUAACAGUCUGUUUUGGGAGUCACUAAUCCACUCCUGAUUGAUCAGGAGCUCAUGAUCCUGAGAAUCAGCUGAAAAUCUAUAGAAAUAAAAAAUGCAGAACCCCUACC